GACGAACGCUGGCGGCGUGCUUAACACAUGCAAGUCGAACGGAAAGGCCCUGCUUUUGUGGGGUGCUCGAGUGGCGAACGGGUGAGUAACACGUGAGUAACCUGCCCUUGACUUUGGGAUAACUUCAGGUAACUGGGGCUAAUACCGGAUAGGAGCUCCUGCUGCAUGGUGGGGGUUGGAAAGUUUCGGCGGUUGGGGAUGGACUCGCGGCUUAUCAGCUUGUUGGUGGGGUAGUGGCUUACCAAGGCUUUGACGGGUAGCCGGCCUGAGAGGGUGACCGGCCACAUUGGGACUGAGAUACGGCCCAGACUCGUACGGGAGGCAGCAGUGGGGAAUAUUGCACAAUGGGCGGAAGCCUGAUGCAGCAACGCCGCGUGCGGGAUGACGGCCUUCGGGUUGUAAACCGCUUUCGCCUGUGACGAAGCGUGAGUGACGGUAAUGGGUAAAGAAGCACCGGCUAACUACGUG
rnacentral:rRNA from 1 species